ACCUCAGUGAUUAGAGCCAUAUGCAUUGGCAAUAUACGCUAUACUGACCUAUUUUGAUGAGAAAUUGAAUAUGAGAGUU